CUCCAUAUAAACAUUUACAAGCGGGCUAUCCUGGUUGCCAGGAUGAAAGUUCAAAGAUACCGCCGCAAGCUAUUUUUAACAACUGUCAAAACAAUACAAUGUAACAAAAUUGUCCUGGCAAGUGGGAUGAAAGUUUCUCAUAUAAACACAAGAGAAAUUCAUCCCGCUUACCGGGCUGUCUUGCUAAGCGUGCCAUUCCGGCUUCCAUAUAAACAGGCCAUUAAUUGACAUAUGUUCCUCAACUAAUUCAGAAGAAUCCAAAUUUUCCACAUAUACAAUCUCACUAACAUUUCUCAUUUUCGGUACACAGAACACAAGUUGGGGAUAACUUUUCAUCAGUCGUUGCUUGAGUUUAAAAGCUCUAUAUUUAGAUGCAUCCACAUUCUCAGUGUCCUUAGCAAUAAUAACAAAUUUCUCCAGCAAAUCUUUCAUAUACUUUAUUUGCUUAUUUCUGAUGACCUCCAUCUCAAUUACUUUCUUACAGAAAUAUACAUCAUAAGACUUCUCGUACACUGAUGCUCUUGUUGCUUCUUCGUCUCUCUGGUGAGAAAUAUUGUAUAAUUGCAGUAGCAAACUUUGUGAUAGCGGAUUUCCAGAGCUACACAGUUUUUCCCCUGGAUUUGCAUGAGUAUCUGUUGAUCAUUCUUUCUCUCGGCAGCUGUACGUAGAAGACCAGCAUCAAUUGUUUUUGCCAACAUGAGUGGGGUUCUUCUUCUCUUCAGACUCUUCUUAGUUACCUGGUGUGAAACAAACCAUACCUUGUCCAGUGAGAACCACGAGGCGUCUCUUCCACAAAUAUAACAUAUCUCUGGGAGUACAUGCGCGUUUCUUUUAGGCAAGGCCUUUAUAUUUAUAGCUUCUGCGACUGAUUGACGUGUAAUUUUUCGCCUUGGUUCUAUUGCCUCCACUUCCACGUGUGAUUCUUCGGUAGAAGUUAUAGUUUUAGAGCUAGUUCCUUCUCUUUUUUCUUCUUUUCUCUGUUAUCUACGGAUCUUCGGUUCAUCGCAAAAUCUCUUCUAGCAUUUCAUAUGAUGGUUCCAUUCUAAGUUAAUGGUGUCAGAGUUCUUCUCGAUGCAUGAAUUGACAGAUCCGUCAUCGAUGUUCUCGUACGAUUUCUUAGCUAUUUCAGCUUGUUGACACUUAAGUUUGGCCCAUUUUGACCUACACUCAAGAAAUUUCUUAAGCCUUUGGCGUGUAACUUUGCGAAGUUGCUCCGUAACGCCAUCAAAAUGCAUAAAACAUGAGGAUAUUCGAGUUUUAUAAAUAUCUUCAGCCAUGUUUAUUUGCAUAACUGAGCGUGUUUCCACUUCGAAGCAUGUGCGUUGGUUGUGCGCGUGCGCAGUGCGAGUUUGGCUGAGUUGCGCAUGCGUAUUUGCUAUCAAAACAAUGGCGGUUCGAAUAUUUCGAAGCGCGAAAAUAUAAACUUUGGAGGGACUUUUCUCCCAAUUGUGCACCUGUUUCGCUUGGGGAGCAACGGAUUCUGAUAAAGUAAGUUUUUAUCUAUUUAUUCAUGUGAAAAUUGCGUAGUUCCACGAGGGGUGCAACGGAAUCCGUUUUCUAAGCAUCUUUUGGAUGCUCAUCCCACGGCCUACAAAACUACAAUGCAGUUCCUAAACGGGAAAAUAGCGAACGGGCAUUAAUAACCCAUGUGAGGCUACCUCCCGCUUUAAUUUCAGUCGACAUUUACAAAUUUACAUAAAUUUAAAAUCGUUGAAAGCACGUUUACACGCAUUCACGCCAAAGUGAUAUAGGACCUAUGUUAAAAUAAUUAUUAAUAAGCCAGAUAAAACGUCAUUUGGUGACAUCAAUCAUAAAAAC